rnacentral:rRNA from 1 species
GACGAGCCUCACGAACGUUAUUCGGAAUCACUGGGCUUAAAGGGUGCGUAGGCGGUGUGGAAAGUCGGAUGUGAAAUACCUCAGCUUAACUGAGGAACUGCACUCGAUACUUCCAUGCUAGAGUAAGACAGAGGUGAGUGGAACUGAGGGUGGAGCGGUGAAAUGCGUUGAUAUCCUCAGGAACACCGGUGGCGAAGGCGGCAUCCUGGACCGGUAUUGACGCUGAGGCGCGAAAGCCAGGGGAGCAAACGGG